rnacentral:sRNA from 1 species
UCUCCGAAAGACGAGUCCCCUGAGUGG